rnacentral:rRNA from 1 species
AAGAUUUGAAGUAGAACACUUUGGAAAGAGUGGCCAUAGACGGUGAUAGCCCGGUAUACGUAAGAAGCUUAGCGAGGCGAGUAUCCUGAGUAGUGCGGGACACGAGAAAUCCUGUAUGAAUCAGCCGGGACCAUCCGGUAAGGCUAAAUACUCCUGAGAGACCGAUAGAGAACCAGUACCGUGAGGGAAAGGUGAAAAGCACCCCGAACAGGGGAGUGAAAUAGUACCUGAAACCGUACGCCUACAAGCGGUUGGAGCCACUUCGUGUGGUGACAGCGUGCCUUUUGCAUAAUGAGCCUACGAGUUACUUCUUACUAGCCAGGUUAAGACUUUAAGGGUCGGAGCCGAAGCGAAAGCGAGUCUGAAUAGGGCGAAAUAGUUAGUAGGAGUAGACGCGAAACCAAGUGAUCUACCCAUGACCAGGUUGAAGCUGUGGUAACACACAGUGGAGGACCGAACCAGUUGACGUUGAAAAGUCUUUGGAUGAGUUGUGGGUAGGGGUGAAAGGCCAAUCAAACUUGGAAAUAGCUCGUACUCCCCGAAAUGCAUUUAGGUGCAGCCUUAUUUUAGUUUAGCAGAGGUAGAGCUACUGAUAGGACGCGAGGGCUUCAUCGCCUAUCAACUCCUGAUAAACUCCGAAUGCUGCUAAAUGAUGAAUAGGAGUGAGGGCAUGGGUGCUAAGGUCCAUGUCCAAGAGGGAAAGAACCCGGACCAUCAGCUAAGGUCCCCAAAUGUAUGUUAAGUUGACCAAACGCGGUUUUACUGCUUUGACAGCUAGGAUGUUGGCUUGGAAGCAGCCAUUCAUUUAAAGAGUGCGUAACAGCUCACUAGUCGAGCGGUAAUGCAUGGAUAAUAAUCGGGCAUAAACAUACUACCGAAGCUAUGGAUUUUGUACUAUGUACAGAGUGGUAGGGGAGCAUUCUAAACUGGGUUGAAGGUUAACUGUAAGGUUGACUGGACUGUUUAGAAAAGCAAAUGUAGGCAUAAGUAACGAUAAUGGGGGUGAGAAACCUCCACGCCGAAAGACCAAGGUUUCCUGAUCAACGCUAAUCGGAUCAGGGUUAGUCGGGACCUAACGCGAACCCGAAGGGGGUAGUGGAUGGAAAACAGGUUAAUAUUCCUGUACCUGUCAUACAAUAAAAGUGACGGAUCGGCCAGAUGUUUACGUACUGACGGAAUAGUACGUUGAGCCUAGUCUACGGACGAAGCGAAAACAAGUAACCGGUUCCAAGAAAAGCGAGUAUGACGGCUCGUACCGUAAACGGACACACGUAGUUGGGUUGAGUAUACUAAGGCGCUCGAGUGAUUCAUGGCUAAGGAACUAGGCAAAUUAACUCCGUAACUUCGGGAGAAGGAGUGCCUGCCAUUAAUUUGGUAGGCCGCAGAGAAAUGGCCCAGGCGACUGUUUAUCAAAAACACAUGGCUUUGCUAAAUCGAAAGAUGAUGUAUAAGGCCUGACACCUGCCCGGUGCCGGAAGGUUAAGUGGAGAUGUUAACUUCGGUGAAGCAUUGAAAUGAAGCCCCGGUAAACGGCGGCCGUAACUAUAACGGUCCUAAGGUAGCGAAAUUCCUUGUCGGGUAAGUUCCGACCUGCACGAAUGGUGCAACGAUCUGGGCACUGUCUCAGCCAUGAGCUCGGUGAAAUUGUAGUUCCGGUGAAGAUGCCGGAUACCCGCAACGGGACGGAAAGACCCCGUGAACCUUUACUGCAACUUAACGUUGGUUUUGGGUAAGUAAUGUGUAGGAUAGGACGGAGACUUUGAUGCUGCAUCGCCAGGUGUAGUUUAGUCGCCCUUGAAAUACGUCCCUUUGCUUAUCUGAGGCCUAACCCAUUUAUGGGGACACCGUUUGGUGGGUAGUUUGACUGGGGUGGUCGCCUCCAAAAGAGUAACGGAGGCUUCUAAAGGUGCGCUCAAGACGAUUGGUAACCGUCUGUAGAGCAUAAUGGUAUAAGCGCGCUUGACUGUGAGACCGACAAGUCGAUCAGGUACGAAAGUAGAGCAUAGUGAUCCGGUGGUUCCGCAUGGAAGGGCCAUCGCUCAAAGGAUAAAAGGUACUCCGGGGAUAACAGGCUGAUCGCUCCCAAGAGCUCAUAUCGACGGAGCGGUUUGGCACCUCGAUGUCGGCUCGUCACAUCCUGGG